rnacentral:misc_RNA from 1 species
GAUGAAGAACGUAGCGAAAUGCGAUAAGUAAUGCGAAUUGCAGAAUUUCCGUGAGUCAUCGAAUCUUUGAACGCACAUUGCGCCCACUGGUAUUCCGGUGGGCAUGCCUGUUCGAGCGUCAUUACAACCCUCAGGCCCCCGGGCCUGGCGUUGGGGAUCGGCGGAAGCCCCCUGCGGGCACAACGCCGUCCCCCAAAUACAGUGGCGGUCCCGCCGCAGCUUCCAUUGCGUAGUAGCUAACACCUCGCAACUGGAGAGCGGCGCGGCCACGCCGUAAAACACCCAACUUCUGAAUGUUGACCUCGAAUCAGGUAGGAAUACCCGCUGAACUUAAGCAUAUCAAUAAGCGGAGGA